rnacentral:rRNA from 1 species
UACGUAGGGGGCAAGCGUUGUCCGGAUUUAUUGGGCGUAAAGCGCGUGUAGGCGGCCAGAUAGGUCUGCUGUGAAAACUCGAGGCUCAACCUCGAGCUGUCGGCGGAAACCAUCUGGCUAGAGUCCGGAAGAGGAGAGUGGAAUUCCUGGUGUAAGCGGUGAAAUGCGCAGAUAUCAGGAAGAACACCUAUGGCGAAGGCAGCUCUCUGGGACGGUACUGACGCUGAGACGCGAAAGCGUGGGGAGCGAACAGG